UUGCUUCAGCAGCACACAUACUACAGUUGGAAUGAUCCAGAAAAGAGCAGUGUGGUCCCUGUGCAAGGAUGACACAUACAUUCAUGAAGCAUUCUAUAGUUUU